UUUUUCUUUUUUCUUGAUCAGGAUUUUGGUAACAAUAUAUGUUCUUAGCUCAGUUAGUGAAAGGAAAGUCGUGCUAACAUUCUUCAUUGAAUAGACAGUCACCUAGAAUCUGGUCUGUCAGCAAACUGUAAGUGAAGAGAAGUGCUUCUCUUUUGUGUGGAAUUUGACAGUACUACUUCUCUUUGAUCAGUCUUAGAACCAAAUAUCAAGCAAAAUUCUGUAAGUUUGAACACCAAUUAGAAGGACUAGUCAUUUUCUAGUAUCAAUUAAAUGAUCCAGUGGUAUUAACUAUCAGAACUGAUAUUUUGUCCAAAUUACAAUAGGUCAUUGCUUGUUUGUAAUUCUUCUUUUUCUUAAAUAUGGUUAAGCAGCGUGGAGCAUCUACUUCCACUGUGUAGCCAAAAAUCUUCAAAUCGGGUGAUUUUAAUGUUAAGACGGCAAAAAGGUGAUAUAUUGCAACUAUUUUAAUCUUUAGACUUGCUCUGGUAUUUGUAAAAGAGACCUAGUAUAGAUAGGAAGUGAUAAUUUUCUCAAGAAAGUUGAUAGAGUAAAGUAAUGCUAAUGUACUACAAAUAUUUGACCAUUAACGUAGGUAGAUAUGUCAGCUGGAUGUGCAUAGUAUUCCCAAACAUGAACCAAUCUUACUUGAAGAUUUCUAGUUCAUGAUGUACUGCUUGAAGUUUCAUCUCAAUAGCAAUUCAUGUAUUCUUGUUGUUUCCUUUUUUCCAGUGUGUUGAGCAAGGAAGAGGUGUUUCGGGUUAAUGAUUGUAUCCAAUAUGCGUCGAUAAAGGUCUUCCCGCAUCCCUCUAUGUUCUGUUUGGUUAUCUUUGAGUAACGCGGAUGUAAUUUCCAAGUCACACAGCUGCUACAUUCUCUUCCUUGAGAUGAAGCAUGCCUCCUUGCGCAUGGAACAUACAGCUCCAA